rnacentral:tRNA from 2 species
GUGGUUAUAGUAUAAUGUUAUUACCUCAGUGUCAGGCUGAUGAUGUGGGUUCGACUCCCACUGACCACUUCA